UAUCAGAAUUGUUUUGGAUUU
rnacentral:piRNA from 1 species